AAGGGCACCACAAGAACGCGUGGAGCAUGUGGCUUAAUUUGACUCAACGCGGGAAAUCUUACCGGGUCCGGACACACUGAGGAUUGACAGGCAAUAUUAUAACGCACUCCCUUCGUGGUGCUGCGUUAUAUGUUAAAUAUGCUAGUCCUUUCAUGAUUAUGUGAUAGGUGGUGCAUGGCCGUUCUUAGUUCGUGGAGUGAUCUGUCUGCUUAAUUACGUUUCACUAAGAACCUAUACAUUUACGUGUGUUGCAGCACUUUGACCCCUUACACUCGUGUAAGCUGCGUGUCUUAGUUUUUGCUUGCUCGCACAAUUAGGUUCUGAAAGCAACGAACGUGACCGCAACCUCUUGUUGCCUUUUAAUACCAAACAUCGCACCUCGCGUGCGUUGCAAAAAGGCUUUUUAAACUAGAGGGACCGCUGUUACUUUCUUAAACCAGAGGAAGGUUGCGGCAAUAACAGGUCUGUGAUGCCCUUAGAUGUUCCGGGCUGCACACGUGCUACAAUGAUUAUUGCAGUGAGCAUCUCAUUUGUAUACACCGCAUGCGCGGGCCCAUUUAUUUGCAUUUUUGCAUUUAAGUGCGUUGCUCUGCGCGCGGUAAAGCCUGCUUCGAUAGCAAGUGGGUAAUCAAUUAGAAGUAAUGAUUUCCAUAUUAGCACACAUAUAUACGGCGUUCAUGCCCGGGUUGCACUUGCUGUAACUUUUGCGCGCAUGAAUGAUUUUUGGGCGCCCUGCGCUUCCGUAUGUGCGAUUGUCAAUUCAUGGUGGGGACAGACCAUUGUUAAUUGUUGGUCUCGGUCUUAACUAGGAAUGCCUUGUACGGGUCUUUGGUUCAACAGACCACCCGGAAUACGUCCCUGCCCUUUGUACACACCGCCCGUC
rnacentral:rRNA from 1 species